rnacentral:lncRNA from 1 species
UUUUCCUUUCUUACAAUGUUCUUUUGGAUCAUCAGUCAAUAUUUCUCCAUCAGGCUGCAGAGAUUACAUAUUUAAAUAAACAUUCACUAAUACAAAGUACAUAAUAAAACUGAUUAAUUUAAAGAUUAAAUUACCUCAGAAGGAACCUCGAUGGCCUUCGCAGUUGAUUUGCUUAGAAAAUCAUGCAUCUCUUCCCACAUAUUAGUUUUCUUCAAUCUCUGAUUCAGAAAUUGGAGGAGAUGAUUGUGGUUCUUCCACCCCAAAUUGCAUGUUCAAUGGUGGUGGAUUAAUGAUCAGUAAUCCGUUUU